rnacentral:rRNA from 1 species
AGCGAACGCCGGCGGCAGGCCUAAUACAUGCAAGUCGAGCGCACCUUCGGGUGAGCGGCGGACGGGUGAGUAACGCGUGGGAACGUGCCCUUUGGUACGGGAUAACUGAGGGAAACUUCAGCUAAUACCGUAUGUGCCCUACGGGGGAAAGAUUUAUCGCCAUUGGAGCGGCCCGCGUUGGAUUAGGUAGUUGGUGAGGUAAAGGCUCACCAAGCCUACGAUCCAUAGCUGGUCUGAGAGGAUGAUCAGCCACACUGGGACUGAGACACGGCCCAGACGCCUACGGGAGGCAGCAGUAGGGAAUCUUGCGCAAUGGGCGAAAGCCUGACGCAGCCAUGCCGUGUGAAUGAUGAAGGUCUUAGGAUUGUAAAAUUCUUUCACCGGGGAAGAUAAUGACGGUACCCGGAGAAGAAGCCCCGGCUAACUUCGUGCCAGCCGCCGCAGUAAAAC